GAUGAACGCUGGCGGCGUGCCUAAUACAUGCAAGUCGAGCGAACAGACGAGGAGCUUGCUCCUCUGACGUUAGCGGCGGACGGGUGAGUAACACGUGGAUAACCUACCUAUAAGACUGGGAUAACUUCGGGAAACCGGAGCUAAUACCGGAUAACAUGUUGAACCGCAUGGUUCAACAGUGAAAGACGGUCUUGCUGUCACUUAUAGAUGGAUCCGCGCCGCAUUAGCUAGUAGGUAAGGUAACGGCUUACCAAGGCAACGAUGCGUAGCCGACCUGAGAGGCUGAUCGGCCACACUGGAACUUAGACACGGUCCAGACUCCUACGGGAGGCAGCAGUAGGGAAUCGUCCGCAAUGGGCGAAAGCCUGACGGAGCAACGCCGCGUGAGUGAAGAAGGUCUUCGGAUCGUAAAACUCUGUUAUUAGGGAAGAACAAAUGUGUAAGUAACUAUGCACGUCUUGACGGUACCUAAUCAGAAAGCCACGGCUAACUACGUG
rnacentral:rRNA from 1 species